UACGAAGGGGGCUAGCGUUGCUCGGAAUUACUGGGCGUAAAGGGCGCGUAGGCGGCCAUUCAAGUCAGAGGUGAAAGCCCAAGGCUCAACCUUGGAAUUGCCUUUGAUACUGUUUGGCUUGAGACCGGAAGAGGUUAGUGGAACUGCGAGUGUAGAGGUGAAAUUCGUAGAUAUUCGCAAGAACACCAGUGGCGAAGGCGGCUAACUGGUCCGGUUCUGACGCUGAGGCGCGAAAGCGUGGGGAGCAAACAGGG
rnacentral:rRNA from 1 species